GCCCGCUUAGCUCAGUGGUAGAGCGCGCCACUCGUACGAUUGCGUAGGCAGGUAUGGUGAGGUCGGUUGUUCAAACCAGCCAGCGGGCA